AAAACUUUCAACAACGGAUCUCUUGGUUCUGGCAUCGAUGAAGAACGCAGCGAAAUGCGAUAAGUAAUGUGAAUUGCAGAAUUCAGUGAAUCAUCGAAUCUUUGAACGCAUCUUGCACCCUCCGAUGUCUCGGUGGGUAUGCCUGUUCGAGCGUCAUU
rnacentral:rRNA from 1 species